ensembl:lncRNA
ACCAGGACUAAACCAGGUCUGAACCAGGACUGAACCAGGACUGAACCAGGACUGAACCAGGUCUGAACCAGGACUAAACCAGGACUAAACCAGGUCUGAACCAGGACUAAACCAGGACUGAACCAGGUCUGAACCAGGACUAAACCAGGACUAAACCAGGUCUGAACCAGGACUAAACCAGGACUAAACCAGGACUAAACCAGGACUGAACCAGGACUAAACCAGGACUAAACCAGGUCUGAACCAGGACUAAACCAGGACUAAACCAGGACUGAACCAGGACUAAACCAGGACUAAACCAGGACUAAACCAGGUCUGAACCAGGUCUGAACCAGGACUAAACCAGGACUAAACCAGGACUAAACCAGGUCUGAACCAGGUCUGAACCAGGACUAAACCAGGACUAAACCAGGACUAAACCAGGUCUGAACCAGGUCUGAACCAGGUCUGAACCAGGACUAAACCAGGACUAAACCAGGACUAAACCAGGUCUAAACCAGGACUAAACCAGGACUAAACUAGGACUAAACCAGGACUAAACCAGGUCUGAACCAGGAC